CCGGAAGGCUCCGCACCCUGGGAGCCGAGCACGCGCUAAGGGGCUUCUCAGCAUUGGCAACAGGACUUCGCUGCGUGGUUUCCCCUUCCCCGCACAAAAGACUUCUAGGGUAAGCCUCUGUUCUGUUGUUUUUUGUUUUUUUUACAUAUGGCAGCAGACUGGUGCAGUUUUGACACAGCAAAUCACUUCCAAGCACUUUGAGGUGAUGGAUGAUCUAAGCAAGAUAUAAAUCCUGUUCGCAACAAAUAAUGGGUAUUCUCUCAGCAUUAGCCCCCUGUAUCUGCAACAGGGGUGUGUCACUGGCCCACCUUACAAAGGUGUUGUGAAGCUUGCUUUCCUAGGCAAAGCACUUUGAACACACCAAAGAACUUAUUACAGUACUAAUAAUACCCAAAGCUGCUUAUUACAGUACUAAUAAUACCCAAAGCUGCAUACAGGCUGCACACACAUGGUACAUUUAAAGCACCCCCAACUCCUGUAACUUACCCCUUAGGUAAAGGUAAAGGGACCCCUGACCGUUAGGUCCAGUCACAGACGACUCUGGGGUUGUGGCGCUCAUCUCGCUUUAUUGGCCGAGGGAGCCAGCGUACAGCUUCCAGAUCAUGUGGCCAGCAUAACUAAGCCAUUUCUGGUGAACCAUAGCAGUGCAUGGAAAUGCCGUUUACCUUCCCGCCGGAGUGGUAUCUAUUUAUCUACUUGCACUUUGACGUGCUUUCAAACUGCUAGGUUGGCAGGAGCUGGGACUGAGCAAUGGGAGCUCACCCCGUCACAGGAAUUCGAACUGCCGACCUUCUGAUCAGCAAGCCCUAGGCUCUGUGGUUUAACCCACAGCGCCACCCCUUACAAAGCUACAAUUCCCAGCACCCUUAACAACCUACAGUUCCUAGGAUCUGGUGUGAGUGUGGUUUAAUUUGGUGUCAGUUUCGGGUAGAGGAGGGACUUGACCCCCGGCGUGCGGUCCAUGGGCAUAGCCAGGAUUUAUGUUAGGGGGCAGGCUUCAUGCUGGGGGGAGCAGAACCUCAGUUAAGUAUUUUUAUUUAUUUAUUUGAUCUGGGCCCCUUGGCUGUGACCGUAAGCUUGGAUGCCACCAGCAUCUCCCCUCCCCACCCUCAGUGCAAGGAGUGAGCCUUUGUCCAGUUUUGGUCAACACUUUCUCCUCCUAUAGUGGAAGGGGAAACAGACAGACUUGGUCUUACACUGCAAUGCUUUCGAAAUGUAUUUAUUUAUUAGCUGCAGUGGCCAAGAAAGCCUGGGGCAUGUGUGGCAUCACAGCCUCUCAAGGCAGAAAAAUUAAUUCCCUGGGAAGGGAGUUAUCUGCAGAUGGAAAACUUCCCUUCUGCCAACAACCUUGGCUUGGAGUGCCCAGAAGGAAAACAUUUGUAGAGUCCUGGGAUGAGAAACUGGGUCAGGUUUACUGGGACAGGAACAGGGGGUGCUUAGAGAUGCCAGUGCCAGGAGCUGCAAAGUCGUCUUAACUGAAAAGUGAUGCUUUGUCAGGCUGUCCUCAGAGUCCUGCCAGAGCUACAGGGAGGGUGCAUUUUGUCCUGCCCUGCCAUACUACCUCUAGCAAAGGAAGAGUGUGUUUCCCCUCCCUUGCUUCCCCUCCCCACAAAAAAACCUUUUAAAAGCUGCCCCACUCUGAUGGUUUCUGGAACCAUUCAUCUGUGCCCCCUCCCAACAAAAUGAUGCAAUUCAGCGGCCGGUGUUAGACUUGUAUGGGAGGUUGUCUGCAGUCAGGUCCAACUCAUUGUGCACCUCCAGGCAAUAAUGAAAAGAAGUGGGGACCUGCAGCCAGUGGUGCCUGGUGCCUACUAGGCAGAGCUGGUGGGGCAGCCAACAACAGGUUGUGUCAGUGACAGACAGAGCCAAUUAAUUCUACUCCCCCCCACUGCUGGCCCCAUCCUUAAGGAGGAGGUAGUUGACAGCCAGGGCUACCUCCUGGACUGGUCAUAAGAAGGCAGCACAGCUCGGAGGAGUCAAAGCUGAAGUUGUGGGGCCAUGCCCCAAUGGACCAGCCAUCACUGCCAUCAGCAAAGUUGCAGUAAAAGCCCAUUCUCUAAAAAGUGUGUUCCUAUUCAGGCUUCCAUCCAGCCUUGAACAGGAGCCCUGUAGUCCUGUUUGAGGGCUCCUGGGGGUGUGGGGAGAGGGUCCCCCCGGGGAAAAAUAAAACUUUAAAUUAUUUGGAUUAGAUGGUGUGAGCCAACCCACCAAAGCCUUCAUUGCUAUACAGCAGCAGAGAGGUUGCUAGGAAAAGGAAAGGGUGCAAAUUCUGCUUCCCUUCUUCCUGAAAUCUCUUUGUUUAGUACAGAGAAGGAAGGUCCUUAACAUUACAGUGUGCACCUGCCACCAUCCGCCCUCUAGGGUACAAUGAACUCUUACGGCUCAAACAGGCCAGAACCCUGCUCAGCCAUGACCACCUCCUUCACUGGAGCGGAGCAACCCUUCCUCUCUUGUUGUUCUGAAGAACAAUGGUUGCUUUGAUGCGGCUGAAUCACUUUUGCUGGGAAAGCUGUCAUUCACUUGGGCUGACCCACCCUGUUUGGGUUUGGGAUUAGAAAGCCAGAGCCUUUGAAGAGGCCCUGGGAAGUCAAACAGAGAGGGAGAUGCCAAGCCCUUGGCAUAGGCCAGCCUGAUGGCCUCCAGCUGUUUUGGAUGACAGCUCACAGCAUAAUGGCCCUAGGAUGGGGAAGGCUUGCAUAUACUCUGCAGGGUUGGGGUGGGGGCACAGGAAAAAGGAGCAGGCAGGGAAGUGGCUCUCAUAAUACUAUAGAAUUGUCAAGUUGGAAGAGAUUCAAAGGGUUAUCUAGUCCAAACCCCUGCAACGCUGGAAUCACAGCCAAUCUGCCAGCAGCUGAUAGCUGGAAAAGGAAACCUGGUGGUUGCAGGAGGUUGGAAUGAUUGGCAGGUGUCACAUGACUGCCUUGGGGAUUCAGAUUUCCUAGUCUUCCCCACCUCCUCCUGCAAUUCCACCUGCACCUAUUGCGUCUGGGAGUUCUUCCUCGGGUUACCAAAUUUUCUGAGGAUGAUGCAUGUGAAGGCAGAGGAGUUGGCUGGGGAGAAGGAACUGUCCCACUUCCCCACCAUUUAAUUGUGCAAUAAACAGGUGUUUUGUUUCUGGAAAUGACUUGACCCUGACCUACAUGAUGUGCAUCCCUCUGUUGCUUUGCUUGUUUAUUUUUAUGAUGUCUUUACAGCUGCUUUUUAAUUGUUUUUAUUGCCUUUCAUAGUAUUUUAUUGCCUUUUAUAGUAUUUUGAUUCUUUUUGGAAUAUAGGUCAGCAACAAGUCUUUUAUAUAGAACGUCACUCCAGAAGAAGGAGGGAAGCUUUGAGCUACAAAUGCAACGUCAUUGGACCCCAAGCAAAUGACCCUUUUCAUACCCAGCAUGGACACAUCAGAAAACCUUUCUGAGGAUUUGGCUGCAGAGGAUGUUGUGGAGCUGUGCAGAGCCAGGACACUCAAUAAUAUUUUAAACUAUUUGUUAUGUAUUAUUGCUAGUUGGUUGUGAUUUCCCACCUCAAAGUGGUUGGGAGGGUGGAGGUACAGGAGAGGAGGCUGUGUCUUAGCUAUUCCAGAGGUUCCAUAACUGGGGUCUGUGGCCCACUGGUGGCCCCCCAUAGGAUUGCAGAAUUGUAGAGCUGGGAAUGACAUCAAGGGUCAUCAAGUCCAACCCCCUGCAAAAACAGGAAUCCAGCCUCUGAUUAAAACCCAGAGAAUCCUCCUCCUUCAUUGAGGUAUCCCAUGGGAAGGUUGCAGAACAGAAUACUUGUACUUUGGCCAGCGAUACCUGUGCUUGGUUUAUUUGUUUCCUGCUGACAGAUAAUGCAUUGUUUUGGUUUACAAAAGGAUGUUUCUUUCACUGAGCCCUCGGGAGACGAAGUGCGUUGUCCACACACAAAUUUAUUUGCCAAGUGGGAGGUGGCUUGAUAUUUUCCUGUCUGGCCUUGUGUACACAUCUCAUGCUGAGGGGGAGCUCCUUGCCUGGGCUUCGGUCCACGACCUCUCCCCUACUUCUGAAGGGAGCAAAGGUUCUGUAACACCCACCCCACCCACCACCCCCAGAUGUGGUCCACGCUUGGCAGCUGUGUGGCCCUGUCCCCUUUGCUGCGAGUGCCAAAGUCUGGCUUGAUAGCUGGGAGCAACCAGAGGCGCCACUGUCACUUGGGUGGCAAAGUCUAUUGUCCUGGUAGAAAUCACAAACAUGGGGCAGGGUUUUCUUACACUGUACCAGCAUUAAGAACGUAAGAUGAGCAUCUGCUGGAUCCUGGCCCAUCUAGUCCAGCAUCCUAAUCUCACAGGGGUCAAGCAGAUGCCCCAGAGGAAAACCCACAAGUAGGAUUUGAGCCCAAGAACACUUUCCAUUCCUAUGACCCAUGGUGGGACAGCAUAGCCAUCGUGGCUAGUUGCCAUUGAUUGCCCUCUUCACAAAUUUGUAUUGCUCCCCUUUGAAGCCAUGUGGCCAUCACUGCCUCCUAUGGGAGCGUGUUUAAUUGCAUUCCACUUUUAAUUUGUAUGUAUUCCGCCUUUCUCUGUUACUAGACACAAGGCGGUUUACAAGCUGAAGAAAGAACAAAAUACAGUGGACCCUCGGGUUGCGAACGUGAUCUGUGCGGGAUGCAUGUUUGCAACCCGUCUGUGCAUGUGCGGGUUGCGAUUUAGCUCUUCUGCUCCUGUGCAAAGCGUGAUUUAGCGCUUCUGCGCAUGCACGGCCUCCGAAACCCGGAAGUAACCUGUUCCAGUACUUCCGGGUUUUGGAGCGUCUGUAACCUGAAAAAUACAACCUGAAGCGUCUGUAACCCGAGGUAUGACUCUAGACAGCAAAGGUCACACACCUAAUAACAAUCUGAUUCGAUACAAAAAAAGUCAC